UACGUAGGGGGCGAGCGUUGUCCGGAAUUACUGGGCGUAAAGCGCCUGUAGGCGGGAACGUGCGUCGGACGUGAAAGGCGGGGGCUCAACCCCCGAGCGGCGUUCGAAACGGCGUUUCUUGAGGGUCAAAGAGGAGCGUGGAAUUCCCGGUGUAGCGGUGAAAUGCGUAGAGAUCGGGAGGAACACCCAUGGCGAAGGCAGCGCUCUGGUCGGCAUCUGACGCUGAGAGGCGAAAGCGUGGGGAGCGAACGGG
rnacentral:rRNA from 1 species